CAGGUGCUGCACGGCUGUCGUCAGCUCGUGUCGUGAGAUGUUGGGUUAAGUCCCGCAACGAGCGCAACCCACGUAUUUAGUUGCUAACGGUUCGGCCGAGCACUCUAAAUAGACUGCCUUCGUAAGGAGGAGGAAGGUGUGGACGACGUCAAGUCAUCAUGGCCCUUAUGCCCAGGGCGACACACGUGCUACAAUGGCAUAUACAAUGAGACGCAAUACCGCGAGGUGGAGCAAAUCUAUAAAAUAUGUCCCAGUUCGGAUUGUUCUCUGCAACUCGAGAGCAUGAAGCCGGAAUCGCUAGUAAUCGUAGAUCAGCCAUGCUACGGUGAAUACGUUCCCGGGUCUUGUACUCACCGCCCGUCACACCAUGGGAGUUGAUUUCACUCGAAGCCGGAAUACUAAACUAGUUACCGUCCACAGUGGAAUCAGCGACUGGGGUGAAGUCGUAACAAGGUAACCGUAGGAGAACCUGCGGUUGGAUCACCUCCUUUCUAG
rnacentral:rRNA from 1 species